UACUACAUCAAACCUUUCGUUAAAGUGAAAAAUGGUAACUAGAUAACACAAAUAUUACCCACAGAAAAGGUGAAGAUGAAAUUUUUUGAGAACUGCCUGUGGGUGGUUGCAAUUUUCAGGUCACCUACUGCAAUGCCACACUCGCCAGGGUCAUAAGUAUAUGAAGAUGGAGAACCAAUUGUGUUUGUAGA